AUCUUAGGCUGCAAUUCUUGUAUGAAUCAUGAAUAAAGCAUGAGUUGAAGUUUCAAGAAAAGAAAAACUUCACAAAUAGCAUCAAUCUUAGGCACCCACGUUCUACAAGCAGAUUGUAACCCACGCUCUACAAGCAGAUUGUUGAUGAUAGUUGUUAGAUAUCUUGUAAAUAAGUCGGAUAUCUUUUAUUUAUGGUUAUUAGGUAAGCUAAUCAUGUAAUUAGGGAAGUGAUCAUUUAUUGUAUCUUUAUGGUGCCUAUUAUAAAUAAUGAUCCCCAUUAUGUAGUUUAGACACACAGAUUAAGUCUAAUAUUGCCUCUCAGCUUCUCCUAAUUUUACAUGGUAUUAGAGCCUGACGAGAGGCAAUUCUAAUCCGUCGUCAUUCUCAAUGGACUCAAUGCCCACCGGUGUGAGAAACUGUGUCUCAUUCUGGUUUUCGUUUCUUACCUCUAUCGUGUUUCAUUCCGACAGUUUCCGUUUCUUCCACCUGCCGUUGUCGUGUUUCAUUCCGACAGCUUUUCCGACCUUAUCACCUGUUGUGUUUCAUUCCGACUGUUUCUGACCUUACCGCGUGCCGUGUUUCACUCCGAUGACGUUUCCUGCUUCUACCUUUGUCGUGCAUCAUUCCGACAGCCUUCUCCAGCCACUUCCAACACUGCUCAGUCAUGCCGACCACCACCAUUAGGACCGCCUGGAGUAGACCGGCCGAUCCUUGGUAGUUUCAGCUCAAACAGAGGUUCAACAUGCCUCCAAUGCAGUUGUGUGAACUUACCCGUCCCCCUUCUCAACUUUGUGUGGCAGUGCGUCCUUUGGUGGCUUCGGCCGCCGUUUGGUUCGCCACACUCGCCCUUCCUAAGAUUGACAAGCCUCAUAUAUAUAUUAAAUCAAUAACAAAUAUUACUUGAAAUUCAUAACAUAUUCUUACUUUCAUAGUAGCAAACAAGCAAUAAAAGUCAUAGACCUUGAGAGAGCAGAGUACUCUACAGAGUACUUUCUUUUAGGAAAGGGAUUCAAUCCCAUAAUUACGAGAUGGAAUAAUUGGACUUUUUUUGUAGGAAUUGACUGGAUAUCGGGAUGAGAUGUUGUUUAUGAAAAAAAAAAUUAAGAGCUAAUACUUGUCUGAUGAAAUUAUCACAAAAUCCUUUCAUGAUGACGGAUGUGCUGGCAUCUUGGUGUUCUUCCCUGAAGUUGUAAGGCUUGGUGAAUGUGUGCGAGAGAUGCUUUGUUGCUGUGUUGUGCAGAGGUGUGUUUGCAAUGUUAUGAUGAUAGCUGUUGUGGGUGAUUGUGAAGAUGAUGGUGUAUUUAUAAGUGGCGACUUAAGUGGGCUUUUGAUAUUGCUUGGCCUCUCCUGCUCGAUACGGAGAUGGACACUUCACAGGGUUACAAGGUGGAGAGUGUUAACUUGAUGGUUGUUGUAGCCUGGGUUUAGUUGGGAUUUUUAAGGAAUGCUGCGCUGUGCAGCAUGAGUCUGGUUUCUGCUGUUGAGCACUGUGAAUUUGGUGUGUUAUGUCUGUAGUCUUUGCAGGGUUACAGUGUUGAUUUGAGGGUUCUCUGGUCUUGGAUAGUUUGCUUGUGGCUUGAACAGGUGGAUUAUGGCAGUGUGAUAUGUUCGGAGGUUAAGAAAGAUGCUGAAAAUGUUUUUUAUCUUGUUAAGUUUGUGGUAUGUUGAGGGGUUCAAGAUCUGUGAUGAAAAUUUGUGUCUUGGUUUAUGUGUUCUCAUUUGUUCUCCUAUAUGUCGUCAAGGGUGCAAUGUGCUUGCUGCAGGAGUGUUGCUAGCUAUUCUUCCCUCUCUUUUAUCUGCUGCCAAGGGUGCCAUGGGAGGUGUGUCUGGCUAUAGCCAGCCAGAGCCGUCCCAUUUUCUCUUCUUUUUCUUCUUGCUUGAACUUGGGUCUAAAGGGCUUUGCUCUUCUCUAUGAUGUGUUAUGGAUUACUGAGUUUCUCUUCUCUUCUUAGUGAUAGCUCUAUAUUAAAAAGGCUUUAAUUUCUUCUCUUCUUUCUCGUAUUGAUAUUUCAUGUUAUUUGCAAUGUGGUGGCAAUUGGCAAAUUUAUGGUGUGCUUUUUCUUUGUGCAUGGUGCAGCAUCAGUGCCAUCUGUUUGUUGUCUAUUCAUUAAUAUUUCCCAAUAUGAACCUUCUGCAGAGACCGGCAGAUAUAGUUAGAAGGAAAAUACCAUUUGCUGCUUGGUUCCCAUACACAACAAUUGAGCGGCUUCUUUACCAACUUGAGGAAUUAAUCAGAACGGAUAACAUGGUUGAUCAGUGGGACAAGCUCAGAAACAUGUUGCAUGAUUCUUUGCGGAAUCAUCUGAAGACGUUGAAGGUGGACUCAGAUGAUGCUAUUUCUGUAUUUUCUUGAUGGUUACUUAACUGUUGAAAGAUAGUAGAGGGAGACAUGUCUGUUCACAGUGCUCUUGAUCUCUUGCUGUGUGUAAAACAGGCCUUGGCAUGGAAUGUCAACAUUUUGGGAUGGCACUAAUUCUCUUGCCACAGGAACAACAAAAAUUAUCAAUGAUGACCUCUUCACAUGAAUUGAAGAUGUAGCACUAAGAAUCAGCGUCCAUGAAUACCAGUAUAAAAUUUGUACAUGCUUUUUAUUUUAACCAUAAAGAUAUAUUUAUAUUGGACAAGAUUGACCCGUUGUUUGUGCGUACGUGCUGUGGCUACAUUGGCAAUAUUUCAGGGAAAUUC